rnacentral:misc_RNA from 1 species
GAGUAUGCUGCUUUCUACAAGAGCUUGACUAAUGAUUGGGAAGAGCAUCUUGCUGUGAAGCACUUCUCUGUUGAGGGUCAGUUGGAGUUCAAGGCUGUCCUUUUUGUUCCAAAAAGGGCUCCUUUUGACCUCUUUGACACAAAGAAGAAGCCCAACAACAUCAAGUUGUAUGUUCGCCGUGUGUUUAUCAUGGAUAACUGUGAUGAGUUGAUUCCUGAAUAUUUGAGCUUUGUGAAGGGUAUUGUGGAUUCUGAGGACCUUCCUCUCAACAUCUCCAGAGAGACAUUGCAGCAGAACAAGAUCCUAAAGGUUAUUCGCAAGAAUUUGGUGAAGAAGUGUGUUGAGCUUUUCUUUGAAAUUGCUGAGAACAAGGAGGACUACAAUAAGUUCUAUGAGGCGUUCUCUAAAAACCUCAAGCUUGGAAUCCAUGAGGAUUCUCAGAACAGGGCAAAGUUUGCUGAACUGCUGAGGUACCACUCCACUAAGAGUGGUGAUGAGAUGACCAGCUUGAAGGACUAUGUAACCAGGAUGAAAGAAGGCCAGAAUGAUAUUUACUACAUUACUGGUGAGAGCAAGAAGGCUGUUGAGAACUCACCCUUCCUUGAGAAGCUGAAGAAGAAGGGUUAUGAGGUUCUUUACAUGGUUGAUGCUAUUGAUGAGUAUUCAAUUGGUCAAUUGAAGGAAUUUGAGGGUAAGAAGCUUGUUUCUGCUACCAAGGAAGGCCUCAAGCUUGAGGAGACUGAAGAUGAGAAGAAAAAGCAAGAAGAACUAAAGGAGAAGUUUGAGGGUCUUUGCAAGGUGAUUAAGGAUGUUCUAGGUGACAAGGUUGAGAAAGUGGUGGUCUCUGACCGUGUAGUGGAUUCUCCUUGCUGCUUGGUUACUGGAGAGUAUGGUUGGACUGCCAACAUGGAG